rnacentral:rRNA from 1 species
AUUGAACGCUGGCGGCAUGCCUUACACAUGCAAGUCGAACGGUAACGGGCCUUCGGGUGCCGACGAGUGGCGCACGGGUGAGUAAUACAUCGGAACGUUCCCGAUCGUGGGGGAUAACGAGGCGAAAGCUUUGCUAAUACCGCAUACGAUCUACGGAUGAAAGCUGGGGACCGCAAGGCCUUGCGCGGACGGAGCGGCCGAUGGCAGAGUAGGUAGUUGGUGGGAUAAAAGCUUACCAAGCCGACGAUCUGUAGCUGGUCUGAGAGGAUGAUCAGCCACACUGGGACGGAGACACGGCCCAGACUCCUACGGGAGGAAGCAGUGGGGAAUUUUGGACAAUGGGCGCAAGCCUGAUCCAGCCAUGCCGCGUGCAGGAUGAAGGCCUUCGGGUUGUAAACUGCUUUUGUACGGAACGAAAAGCCUUCUUUUAAUACAGGAGGGUCAUGACGGUACCGUAAGAAUAAGCACCGGCUAACUACGUG